UGGGGAAUAUUGGACAAUGGGCGAAAGCCUGAUCCAGCCAUGCCGCGUGUGUGAAGAAGGUCUUCGGAUUGUAACGCACUUUAAGUUGGGAGGAAGGGCAGUAAGUUAAUACCUUGCUGUUUUGACGUUACCGACAGAAUAAGCACCGGCUAACUCUGUGCCAGCAGCCGCGGUAAUACAGAGGGUGCAAGCGUUAAUCGGAAUUACUGGGCGUAAAGCGCGCGUAGGUGGUUUGUUAAGUUGGAUGUGAAAGCCCCGGGCUCAACCUGGGAACUGCAUCCAAAACUGGCAGGCUAGAGUACGGUAGAGGGUGGUGGAAUUUCCUGUGUAGCGGUGAAAUGCGUAGAUAUAGGAAGGAACACCAGUGGCGAAGGCGACCACCUGGACUGAUACUGACACUGAGGUGCGAAAGCGUGGGGAGCAAACA
rnacentral:rRNA from 1 species